rnacentral:snRNA from 1 species
CCACUUCGGCAGCAGCUACAUUAAAAUUGGGAUGAUACACAGAAGGCCGGCAUGGCCCCCGCACAAGGAUGACAUGCAAAGGUGUGAAGCGUUCUGUAUUUCU